GGAGGAGUGACCGAGCGGCUGAAGGUGACGGUCUUGAAAACCGUUGUACCGAAAGGUACCGGGGGUUCGAAUCCCUCCUCCUCCG
rnacentral:tRNA from 2 species